GAUGAACGUUGGCGGCGUGCCUAAUACAUGCAAGUCGAGCGAACAGAUAAGGAGCUUGCUCCUUUGACGUUAGCGGCGGACGGGUGAGUAACACGUGGGUAACCUACCUAUAAGACUGGGAUAACUUCGGGAAACCGGAGCUAAUACCGGAUAACAUUUGGAACCGCAUGGUUCUAAAGUGAAAGAUGGUUUUGCUAUCACUUAUAGAUGGACCCGCGCCGUAUUAGCUAGUUGGUAAGGUAACGGCUUACCAAGGCGACGAUACGUAGCCGACCUGAGAGGGUGAUCGGCCACACUGGAACUGAGACACGGUCCAGACUCCUACGGGAGGCAGCAGUAGGGAAUCUUCCGCAAUGGGCGAAAGCCUGACGGAGCAACGCCGCGUGAGUGAUGAAGGGUUUCGGCUCGUAAAACUCUGUUAUUAGGGAAGAACAAACGUGUAAGUAACUGUGCACGUCUUGACGGUACCUAAUCAGAAAGCCACGGCUAACUACGUGCCUGCAGCCGCGGUAAUACGUAGGUGGCAAGCGUUAUCCGGAAUUAUUGGGCGCAAAGCGCGCGUAGGCGGUUUCUUAAGUCUGAUGUGAAAGCCCACGGCUCAACCGUGGAGGGUCAUUGGAAACUGGGAAACUUGAGUGCAGAAGAGGAAAGUGGAAUUCCAUGUGUAGCGGUGAAAUGCGCAGAGAUAUGGAGGAACACCAGUGGCGAAGGCGACUUUCUGGUCUGUAACUGACGCUGAUGUGCGAAAGCGUGGGGAUCAAACAGGAUUAGAUACCCUGGUAGUCCACGCCGUAAACGAUGAGUGCUAAGUGUUAGGGGGUUUCCGCCCCUUAGUGCUGCAGCUAACGCAUUAAGCACUCCGCCUGGGGAGUACGACCGCAAGGUUGAAACUCAAAGGAAUUGACGGGGACCCGCACAAGCGGUGGAGCAUGUGGUUUAAUUCGAAGCAACGCGAAGAACCUUACCAAAUCUUGACAUCCUUUGAAAACUCUAGAGAUAGAGCCUUCCCCUUCGGGGGACAAAGUGACAGGUGGUGCAUGGUUGUCGUCAGCUCGUGUCGUGAGAUGUUGGGUUAAGUCCCGCAACGAGCGCAACCCUUAAGCUUAGUUGCCAUCAUUAAGUUGGGCACUCUAGGUUGACUGCCGGUGACAAACCGGAGGAAGGUGGGGAUGACGUCAAAUCAUCAUGCCCCUUAUGAUUUGGGCUACACACGUGCUACAAUGGACAAUACAAAGGGCAGCUAAACCGCGAGGUCAUGCAAAUCCCAUAAAGUUGUUCUCAGUUCGGAUUGUAGUCUGCAACUCGACUACAUGAAGCUGGAAUCGCUAGUAAUCGUAGAUCAGCAUGCUACGGUGAAUACGUUCCCGGGUCU
rnacentral:rRNA from 1 species